UUUAUUGGAGAGUUUGAUCCUGGCUCAGGAUGAACGCUGGCGGCGUGCCUAAUACAUGCAAGUCGAGCGAAUGGAUUGAGAGCUUGCUCUCAAGAAGUUAGCGGCGGACGGGUGAGUAACACGUGGGUAACCUGCCCAUAAGACUGGGAUAACUCCGGGAAACCGGGGCUAAUACCGGAUAAUAUUUUGAACUGCAUGGUUCGAAAUUGAAAGGCGGCUUCGGCUGUCACUUAUGGAUGGACCCGCGUCGCAUUAGCUAGUUGGUGAGGUAACGGCUCACCAAGGCAACGAUGCGUAGCCGACCUGAGAGGGUGAUCGGCCACACUGGGACUGAGACACGGCCCAGACUCCUACGGGAGGCAGCAGUAGGGAAUCUUCCGCAAUGGACGAAAGUCUGACGGAGCAACGCCGCGUGAGUGAUGAAGGCUUUCGGGUCGUAAAACUCUGUUGUUAGGGAAGAACAAGUGCUAGUUGAAUAAGCUGGCACCUUGACGGUACCUAACCAGAAAGCCACGGCUAACUACGUGCCAGCAGCCGCGGUAAUAC
rnacentral:rRNA from 1 species